CGGUGAAUACGUUCCCGGACCUUGUACACACCGCCCGUCAAGCCAUGGAAGCUGGGUGUACCUAAAGUCGGUAACCGCAAGGAGCCGCCUAGGGUAAAACUAGUAACUGGGGCUA
rnacentral:rRNA from 1 species